rnacentral:rRNA from 1 species
UCUUUCAGGAGACCUAUGUCUCGAGUCAAAGCAAGCAAGGCAAGCCUUUGGGGCUCUAGUACUAACUAUCCCCAAAGGUGUUUAUUCUUCUCGUGUAAACCAUGAUGUACGAAAAAGUUAGUUGUUAACUUAAAAACAACUCUUGGCAAUGGAUCUCUUGGUUCUCGCAUCGAUGAAGAGCGUAGCAAAGUGCGAUAAUUAUUGCGACUUGCAUUCAUAGCGAAUCAUCGAGUUCUCGAACGCAUCUUGCGCCUAGUAGUCAAUCUACUAGGCACAGUUGUUUCAGUAUCUGCAACUACCAAUCAGUUCAACUUGGUUCUUUGAACCUAAGCGAGCUGGAAAUGGGCUUGUGUUGAUGGCAUUCAGUUGCUGUCAUGGCCUUAAAUACAUUUAGUCCUAGGCAAUUGGCUUUAGUCAUUUGCCGGAUGUAGACUCUAGAGUGCCUGAGGAGCAACGACUUGGUUAGUGAGUUCAUAAUUCCAAGUCAAUCAGUCUCUUCUUGAACUAGGUCUUAAUCUUUACGGACUAGCGAGAGGAUCUAACUUGGGUCUUCUCUU